rnacentral:rRNA from 1 species
GUGGGGCCUCGAAUUUACUCCAAACCCCUGUGACAUACCUAUACGUUGCCUCGGCGGAUCAGCCCGCGCCCCGUAAAACGGGACGGCCCGCCCGAGGACCCCUAAACUCUGUUUUUAGUGGAACUUCUGAGUAAAACAAACAAAUAAAUCAAAACUUUCAACAACGGAUCUCUUGGUUCUGGCAUCGAUGAAGAACGCAGCAAAAUGCGAUAAGUAAUGUGAAUUGCAGAAUUCAGUGAAUCAUCGAAUCUUUGAACGCACAUUGCGCCCGCCAGUAUUCUGGCGGGCAUGCCUGUUCGAGCGUCAUUUCAACCCUCAAGCUCAGCUUGGUGUUGGGACUCGCGGUAACCCGCGUUCCCCAAAUCGAUUGGCGGUCACGUCGAGCUUCCAUAGCGUAGUAAUCAUACACCUCGUUACUGGUAAUCGUCGCGGCCACGCCGUAAAACCCCAACUUCUGAAUGUUGACCUCGGAUCAGGUAGGAAUACCCGCUGAACUUAAGCAUAUCAAUACCCGGGGAGGAA